rnacentral:SRP_RNA from 1 species
CUGGCUUGGCCGGGGUGCUUGGCGUGCCCUAUACCCGAAAUCGUCAAUACGCGGGGGCGACAGCAGGGGACGGCCCCGCUGAACUAUCCAAGCCCACAGAGCGACGAUGAAAUCUUGUCCUGCAGAGUCGGUGUUUGCGCAGGAAGCGGCCGGAGGGUCGCGGUCCACGCAUCAACCGGGGGAACCGGGUCAGGUCCUGACGGGAGCAGCCUCACCUCGGACUACUGACGUUUGCGGGGUGACAGGGUCGAGAAGCGAAGUGGUCAACUUGGACAGAGAGGUAGGGUCAACCCCUG